rnacentral:lncRNA from 1 species
UGGUUGUUCCCUAUUAAAGGGGUGAUUAAAAUUUCAUGGAUCUUAAACCAACUACAGCUUGCUACCAGAAUGUAUGCAAUGUUUGAUGCAUGUCCUAGUAAGGGCAUAUGUUUGGUUGCACCAAUUGAGCUACUGGAAGACAAAAACUUAGCAUCACAGAAGCAUGUUAUCCUGCAGGUGCUAGGCUUUGUAGAUGUAGGACUUAGAAUCUGAGUGAGGCAAAGAUGUGGCAAGGUUGUUUAUGCGUGCACCUG